rnacentral:rRNA from 1 species
GAUCAUGGCUCAGGAUGAACGCUAGCUACAGGCUUAACACAUGCAAGUCGAGGGGCAGCAUGGUCUUAGCUUGCUAAGGCCGAUGGCGACCGGCGCACGGGUGCGUAACGCGUAUGCAACCUACCUUUAACAGGGGCAUAACACUGAGAAAUUGGUACUAAUUCCCCAUAACAUUCGAGAAGGCAUCUUCUUGGGUUAAAAACUCCGGUGGUUAAAGAUGGGCAUGCGUUGUAUUAGCUAGUUGG